CGACUUGUCAAAAUGUCGAUCCGUGACAUACGCGGGCGUUUCCAGUAAGUUAAAUUGAAAUAAACAGUAAUUUAGACCACGACUACACUUCGGGAGUUUAUAUAAACGCAGAGAAACAAUGUAUAGAGAAGAACGUAUCCAGUGAUCAUAGUUUGAAGGCUAAUUCACUAAUUGAACUUUGUGUUUUGUUGGAGAAGUUACGGUUUUGAAAGACUGUGUUUAAGAGAAAGAUUGAUAUAAUUGUAAUUGUUGAUCAUAUUUAUGUGACUGGAGUUAAUGAUAAAAGUCAACUAUUGGACGGAAGUGCUGAUAAUUACAAAGAAAACUAUUAGUGAAAAUACUGUCGCGGUCGCCAGAUUGUCCAAUUCAGACGCUGAUUGACAAUUCAGAUGGAAAUAAAAAAGGCAAGGCGAGGAUUGAAUUAUCGGGGGCAGUAACUGUGUAAAACCGUCGUAAAGGCAUGUCAGUAGCUCAGGAUACUUCAUGGCAUAAACUGGGUUUCGGCAGUCUAAAAUCACACACAUUCUUGAUGUCCAAGCAAAAGUAUGGAGGGCAGAUAGUGAAGAAGGUCAUGUCUCAUCGUAUCUGUGAAACAUAUCUGUGAAACGGGCCAGUGGCGGCCAAGAAACCAGACCAGCCAGGUUGCACGUGCACAUGACUGUGUCCACAAGUUUACUGGAGUGUCAGUGGUGAGAAGGGACUCAAGGAGCUUAUUGAAGAGGGCAAGCCUGUUGAGAUUUUAGAGGGUGAUGGAUAUAAUAAUAUAGAAAUUCACGUGAAAAGGAACAUAAACCUUACUCUACAGAAAUGUUUUGAUAAAAAUCAUGUCAAGAACAUUUUCAUAAUG